rnacentral:rRNA from 1 species
AGACCCGAAACCCGGUGAUCUAGCCAUGGGCAGGUUGAAGGUUGGGUAACACUAACUGGAGGACCGAACCGACUAAUGUUGAAAAAUUAGCGGAUGACCUGUGGCUGGGGGUGAAAGGCCAAUCAAACCGGGAGAUAGCUGGUUCUCCCCGAAAGCUAUUUAGGUAGCGCCUCGUGAAUUCAUCUCCGGGGGUAGAGCACUGUUUCGGCUAGGGGGCCAUCCCGGCUUACCAACCCGAUGCAAACUGCGAAUACCGGAGAAUGUUAUCACGGGAGACACACGGCGGGUGCUAACGUCCGUCGUGAAGAGGGAAACAACCCAGACCGCCAGCUAAGGUCCCAAAGUCAUGGUUAAGUGGGAAACGAUGUGGGAAGGCCCAGACAGCCAGGAUGUUGGCUUAGAAGCAGCCAUCAUUUAAAGAAAGCGUAAUAGCUCACUGGUCGAGUCGGCCUGCGCGGAAGAUGUAACGGGGCUAAACCAUGCACCGAAGCUGCGGCAGCGACACUCAGGUGUUGUUGGGUAGGGGAGCGUUCUGUAAGUCUGCGAAGGUGGCCUGUGAGGGUUGCUGGAGGUAUCAGAAGUGCGAAUGCUGACAUAAGUAACGAUAAAGCGGGUGAAAAGCCCGCUCGCCGGAAGA